rnacentral:rRNA from 1 species
UACGAAGGGGGCUAGCGUUGCUCGGAAUUACUGGGCGUAAAGCGCACGUAGGCGGUCUUUUAAGUCGGGGGUGAAAUCCUGGAGCUCAACUCCAGAACUGCCUUCGAUACUGGAAGACUUGAGUCCGGGAGAGGUGAGUGGAACUGCGAGUGUAGAGGUGAAAUUCGUAGAUAUCGGAAGGAACACCAGUGGCGAAGGCGGCUUCCUGGGCUAAUACUGACACUGAGGUGCGAAAGCGUGGGGAGCAAACAGG